UCGGAUAUGGUGUAAUGGCUAACAUUACCGCCUCUCACUUAGAGAGCCCGCGGUAGCUCGGGGUUCGAUUCCCCGUAUCCGAA